GAUGAACGCUAGCGGCAGGCCUAAUACAUGCAAGUCGAACGGCAAGAUUUGGUAGCAAUACUGAAUCCUAGAGUGGCGCACGGGUGAGUAACGCGUACAUGACAUACCUAUAAGCGAGGGAUAGCAUUGGGAAACUGGUAGUAACCCCUCAUGUGAUUAUUUGUAAUAAAGGUAAAUAAUUAAAACUACGGUGCUUAUAGAUUGGUGUGCGUCUGAUUAGCUAGUUGGCGAGGUAACGGCUCACCAAGGCGACGAUCAGUAGGGGGCGUGAGAGCGUGAACCCCCACACGGGUACUGAGACACGGACCCGACUCCUACGGGAGGCAGCAGUAAGGAAUAUUGGUCAAUGGAGGGAACUCUGAACCAGCCAUGCCGCGUGCAGGAUGAAAGCCCUCUGGGUUGUAAACUGCUUUUAACAGGGAAGAAAAUGCUAUACGCGAUAUAGUACUGACGGUACCUGAGGAAUAAGCACCGGCUAACUCCGUG
rnacentral:rRNA from 1 species